rnacentral:rRNA from 1 species
GACGAACGCUGGCGGCGUGCCUAAUACAUGCAAGUAGAACGCUGAAGAGAGGAGCUUGCUCUUCUUGGAUGAGUUGCGAACGGGUGAGUAGCGCGUAGGUAACCUGCCUGGUAGCGGGGGAUAACUAUUGGAAACGAUAGCUAAUACCGCAUAAAAUUGAUUAUUGCAUGAUAAUUAAUUGAAAGAUGCAACUGCAUCACUACCAGAUGGACCUGCGUUGUAUUAGCUAGUUGGUGAGGUAACGGCUCACCAAGGCGACGAUACAUAGCCGACCUGAGAGGGUGAUCGGCCACACUGGGACUGAGACACGGCCCAGACUCCUACGGGAGGCAGCAGUAGGGAAUCUUCGGCAAUGGGGGGAACCCUGACCGAGCAACGCCGCGUGAGUGAAGAAGGUUUUCGGAUCGUAAAGCUCUGUUGUAAGAGAAGAACGGGUGUGAGAGUGGAAAGUUCACACUGUGACGGUAUCUUACCAGAAAGGGACGGCUAACUACGUG